CUCUCUCAUAAAUUAUAGAGUAAUGUUAGGAAUCAUGAAAAAAAUAUCAUAAAAAUUAUCAUAAAAGAUUUUUCACUGUUAGAUUACACAUAUAACAAAAUAACACACACUAAUCAAAGAAUGAAAAAUCUUCAUAAAGUAUUUCAUGAUAUUUUUUUUGUAAUCCCUAAUAUUAUUCUAAAUUAUAUUGAUAUACGUGAACAAUUCGCUAUCUGCCUAAAAUGUGAGAUAAUCUUAAAAUGUGUGAAUCUUGAACCACAAUUAUGUAAAUGGAAAGUGCAUUAAGAAGAAAAGAACAAAAAAUUUGAAUACAAAGAAUUCCGGUCCAUAAAAUUAAUUGGAUUAGAUGAUUUACUCUCAACGGAUAUAUCAUGAGUCAAUUUUCGUGAAAGUAAAAAUUAAUAAUCUUUCUUAUCGGAGUCUGUUUUUAGUUAUUUAUUUUUUCCCAAUUAUAAAGUUCUGUCUUGUGAUGGACAUUGUUUAAUAUUGUAAAUAAGUAUAAAGGUAAAUUAUACUAGUAGUUCCUAUAUUUUAUCUCUUGUGUCAUUUUGGUCACUAUAUUUUCAAUUGACUCAAUUUUAAUUCUUAAUUUUAGAUUUUGUGUUAAUUUGAUCUAAUUGAUAAUAUCGUUAGUGUUUUUUUAAAGAAAAUUAUUACUAAAUUUGUUGAGGUUAACUUAUUAAGUUGAGUAAAUUUAUAAUUUUACUUUUAAAAUAUGACACAUUAUAUUUAUAUACAUAUUUUUUAUAAAGAAAUACUAAUAGUUAUAAUUAGUUGGAUCAAAUUAAGAUAAAAUCAUAAAUUUAUUAUUAAAAUUGAACCAAUUAAAAUUAUAAAAAUUAAAAUGACACAAUAAUUAAAAUAUAAAAACUACCAUCAUAAUUUAUCCUAAGUAUAAGAUAUGUCAAAAUUUCUGAGAAAUAUCUUUAUAUUUUUCAUAGAAACAGAAUUAAAUUGGUAGGCUUGUGCGAAUUGUCGUUGUCUUGUCAUAGACACGGAACACGCACUUUAAAUAUCUAAUAUAUAUAAUAUCAAAAUGAAUAGAGUAUUAACUACCUGACAAAUCUCUCCAGUGCAGUGCGGUUAGUUAGCAAUAUGCCAGAUAUGGUAAAUGUUAAAAAAGAAAUCUAUAAGAGUGAGUGCACUGCAUAUUCUCAUUUUUCUUUACUAAUUACCUACCUAGCCACCUCAAAGAAAUAUAUAUAUAUAUAUAUAUA